rnacentral:rRNA from 1 species
AUGCACAAGACCCAUGGCGCCCUCCUGAGCCCCUCCUCCGUGAUAUUCCCCUCCAUCAUGCAACUGGAGCACGGGAUGAGCGACUCCGACGACCGGAGGCAGAGGGCGGCGUGCUCGGAGAGGUACAGGAGGAGAGACGAGCCGGAGGACAUCAAGAGGCCCAUCUCCGAGAUCGACGCCGAGAUAGAGGAGGAGUGCAGGAUCUGCAUGGAGCUCAACAGUAGGGUCGUGCUGCGCAACUGCAGCCACGACAUGUGCAUCAAGUGCUACCGUCAAUGGACAGUACGAGAUGUACUCGAGUUUCUGACACUGUCAACAUGGCUGGAAUGCGUGCAGGCGGCGGCGUUGGUGACGCUGCUGUUCGGGAUCGCGGACAACCUGGCGAUCAGCAUCCUGCCGCACAUGAUGCGCCCGGCGCAUGGAGUACCUCACGGGCGUGCUCGUCUCCCCCAGCAUCCCGAUCUCAACAAGCCUAGCGGCCGCCGUCCUUGUCCUGCUCGAGGAGCAGGAGGAGGAGGGGCGCAUCUAGCCAGCCACAUAGGGCCUGCUCUGUACCACCACAUCAUCGGCAUUCUGCAACAUCGAGUUCAAUAUGUCAGGUGA